GAUGAACGCUGGCGGCGUGCCUAAUACAUGCAAGUCGAGCGAACAGACGAGGAGCUUGCUCCUCUGACGUUAGCGGCGGACGGGUGAGUAACACGUGGAUAACCUACCUAUAAGACUGGGAUAACUUCGGGAAACCGGAGCUAAUACCGGAUAAUAUAUUGAACCGCAUGGUUCAAUAGUGAAAGACGGUUUUGCUGUCACUUAUAGAUGGAUCCGCGCCGCAUUAGCUAGUUGGUAAGGUAACGGCUUACCAAGGCAACGAUGCGUAGCCGACCUGAGAGGGUGACCGCCACCCCGGAACCUGAGCAAGGGUCAAAACCCCACGGGGAGCCACAAUUAGGGAAUUUUCCGAAAUGGCGGAAGCCUUACGGAACAAACGCGCGUGAGGUAAUAAAGUCUUCCGAUCGGAAAACCCCUGUAAUAGGGAAAGACAAAAUGUGAAAUUACCAAUGCAGGCUUGACGGUAACUAAUCAAAAAGCCACCGCUUACUAAGUG
rnacentral:rRNA from 1 species